rnacentral:rRNA from 2 species
ACCUGACUGCUAUCGGAUUGAUACUAAGCCAUGCGAGUCAUUGUAGCAAUACAACGCGGACGGCUCAGUAACACGUAGUCAAUCUAACCUAUGGACGGGGAUAACCUCGGGAAACUGAGAAUAAUAUCCGAUAGGCCACUAUGCCUGGAAUGGUUUGUGGCCCAAAUGAUUUAUCGCCGUAGGAUGGGACUGCGGUCUAUCAGCUUGUUGGUGAGGUAAUGGCCCACCAAGGCUAUAACAGAUACGGGCUCUGAGAGGAGAGGCCCGGAGAUGGGUACUGAGACACGGACCCAGGCCCUAUGGGGCGCAGCAGGCGAGAAAACUUUGCAAUGUGCGAAAGCACGACAAGGUUAAUCCGAGUGUUUUCUGCUAAAGAAAUCUUUUACCGGUCUUAAAACCACCGGCGAAUAAGGGGUGGGCAAGUUCUGGUGUCAGCCGCCGCGGUAAAACCAGCACCUCAAGUGGUCAGGAGGAUUAUUGGGCCUAAAGCAUCCGUAGCCUGCCGUGUAAGUUUUCGGUUAAAUCUAUGCGCUCAACGCAUAGGCUGCCGGAAAUACUGCACGGCUAGGGAGUGGGAGAGGUAGACGGUACUCGGUAGGAAGGGGUAAAAUCCUCUGAUCUAUCGAUGACCCCCUGUGGCGAAGGCGGUCUACUAGAACACGUCCGACGGUGAGGGAUGAAAGCUGGGGGAGCAAACCGGAUUAGAUACCCGGGUAGUCCCAGCUGUAAACAAUGCAAACUCAGUGAUGCAUUGGCGUAAGAGCCAGUGCAGUGCCGCAGGGAAGCCGUUAAGUUUGCCGCCUGGGAAGUACGUACGCAAGUAUGAAACUUAAAGGAAUUGGCGGGGGAGCACCACAAGGGGUGAAGCCUGCGGUUC